rnacentral:rRNA from 1 species
GAGUUUGAUCCUGGCUCAGAACGUACGCUGGCGGCACGCCUAACACAUGCAAGUCGAACGAAGUAGCAAUACUUAGUGGCAGACGGGUGAGUAACAUGUAGGUAUCUGCCCUUUGGCCUGGAAUAACACGAGGAAACUUGUGCUAAUACCGGAUAAGUCUUUACGGAGAAAGCUUUAUGCACCAUUGGAUGAGCCUGCACUUGAUUAGUUUGUUGGUGGGGUAAUGGCCUACCAAGACUGUGAUCAAUAGCUGAUUUGAGAGGAUGAUCAGCCACAUUGGGACUGAGACACGGCCCAAACUCCUACGGGAGGCAGCAGUGGGGAAUCUUGCACAAUGGAGGAAACUCUGAUGCAGCGAUGCCGCGUGAGUGAAGAAGGCCCUUGGGUUGUAAAGCUCUUUCGUCGGGGAAGAAAAUGACUGUACCCGAAUAAGAAGGUCCGGCUAACUUCGUGCCAGCAGCCGCGGUAAUACGAAGGGACCUAGCGUAGUUCGGAAUUACUGGGCUUAAAGAGUUCGUAGGUGGUUGAAAAAGUUGGUGGUGAAAUCCCAGAGCUUAACUCUGGAACUGCCAUCAAAACUUUUCAGCUAGAGUAUGAUAGAGGAAAGCAGAAUUUCUAGUGUAGAGGUGAAAUUCGUAGAUAUUAGAAAGAAUACCAAUUGCGAAGGCAGCUUUCUGGAUCAUUACUGACACUGAGGAACGAAAGCAUGGGUAGCGAAGAGGAUUAGAUACCCUCGUAGUCCAUGCCGUAAACGAUGUGUGUUAGACGUUGGAAAUUUAUUUUCAGUGUCGCAGCGAAAGCGAUAAACACACCGCCUGGGGAGUACGACCGCAAGGUUAAAACUCAAAUGAAUUGACGGGGACCCGCACAAGUAGUGGAGCAUGUGGUUUAAUUCGAAGAUACGCGCAGAACCUUACCAACACUUGACAUGUUCGUCGCGACUUUAAGAGAUUAAAGUUUUCGGUUCGGCCGGACGAAACACAGGUGCUGCAUGGCUGUCGUCAGCUCGUGUCGUGAGAUGUUGGGUUAAGUCCCGCAACGAGCGCAACCCUCACUUUUAGUUGCCAUCAUUUAGUUGGGCACUCUGAAAGAACUGCCAGUGAUAAGCUGGAGGAAGGUGGGGAUGACGUCAAGUCCUCAUGGCCCUUACGUGUUGGGCUACACACGUGCUACAAUGGUAUCUACAACAGGAAGCAAGACGGCGACGUUAAGCAAAUCCUUAAAAGAUACCUCAGUUCGGAUUGCACUCUGCAACUCGAGUGCAUGAAGCUGGAAUUACUAGUAAUCGUGGAUCAGCGUGCCACGGUGAAUGCGUUCCCGGGUCUUGUACACAC